rnacentral:tRNA from 1 species
AGCCCCUUAGCCCAACGGAAGGAGGCGCCUGUUUUAGAAACAGCACAGUGUGGGUUCGAAUCCCACAGGGGCUACGA